AAUGACACUCAUAUAAAAUUAUAAUGUUAUAUUUUGUAGAAAGAUGUUUCAGAUGUCUUUGAUUGGUUGAUUCCUGGAACAUUUGGUGUUGGUGGAAGUUUAGAAUUUUACAUCACGACGCCAGAAGGUGGCACUUGGGAAGGGUUCGCUAUCAACUUACUGGAUACUACAGAUGUUAAUUUCAACGUGUAUGGGGGAGCCUCUGAGGCCGUUAUGUUCCAUAUAAUUGUUGUAAAACAAGAUAACGAGCUAAUGGUCAAAACAUGGGCUCAAGCGUCUGGCUGGACGAACAUAUUAAGCAUGGCAAUUCCAUUUCCUGAAGGAAGUGUUACCAAGUUUACUGUAGUACCAUAUACAGACGUCUUGCAAGUAUUGAUUGACGAUGAACACUUAGUCCAGUACCCACACACUGUCGAUCCUACCACUGCAAAAUUGAUCAACAUUAAUCCUUUUUCAAACACCUUAAUUAAGCUUCACAAUAUUACCUUUAUAGGUAUAUAGACCAAGAUCGACUAAUUGAAAUUUGUCAAAGCUAUUUUUUUCAAAUUCUUACAUAUAAUAAAUUUCUAUAAAAACAGUUCACCUGCCAGCGUUCGUAAGCGUCUAGGUAGACUUCCGCUGUUACCUCUGUGUCUGUGUUUUCCCAUCCCCUCUUUUCCAUUACUAAUGUCCGUGGUCCUUGAACAUAAGUCAGUUCACAGCCUGGAAAUAGAAUUUUAUAACGUUUUAAAACACUGUCCAAAUAUGAAUCACGCAUAUUGUUGAUAUAUAAUGAGAGAGACGUAAUGAUAUUAAAAGCUUUCUAAACAUAUCGGUUUAUGUUUGAUAAAUCAAGCUCAGUGAUAUAAGGACUAUCCUGAUGCUUGUGGUAAUAAUACAUGAUGACGUCAUAAGAGCCUUGACCAAUACAAACACGCGCAAUUGCAUGCGACUUUCUAACGUCAUAGAGCAUAGACCAAGAUAAACACGCGCACUCGACUUGCUGACGUCAUAGAGCAUAGACCAAGACAAACACGCACACGCGUAUAGUAUGACCAAUCUCUUUACGCAAGACACUCUUACUUUUCAAAGCAUUCUAAGUAACCGAAAAAAUAGUUCGUGCUAAAUGAUUUUAUA